rnacentral:rRNA from 1 species
UAGGGAAUCUUCCGCAAUGGACGCAAGUCUGACGGAGCAACGCCGCGUGAGUGAAGAAGGAUUUCGGUUCGUAAAACUCUGUCGUUAGAGAAGAACAGCGCAUAGAGUAACUGUUAUGCGUGUGACGGUAUCUAACCAGAAAGCCACGGCUAACUACGUGCCAGCAGCCGCGGUAAUACGUAGGUGGCAAGCGUUGUCCGGAUUUAUUGGGCGUAAAGCGAGCGCAGGCGGUUAGAUAAGUCUGAAGUUAAAGGCAGUGGCUCAACCAUUGUAGGCUUUGGAAACUGUUUAACUUGAGUGCAGAAGGGGAGAGUGGAAUUCCAUGUGUAGCGGUGAAAUGCGUAGAUAUAUGGAGGAACACCAGUAGCGAAGGCGACUUUCUGGUCUGUAACUGACGCGGAUGUGCGAAAGCGUGGGGAUCAAACAGG